rnacentral:lncRNA from 1 species
GAUUAAUUACCACUGAACAUUGAUUAGGAAGUCUAAAAUGGAAAAGAUUGACCAUACUAUGGACUGCUAAAGAUAUAAGUUAAUUAGAAGUAUACACAGGGGGCCUAGAGAGAUGGCUCAGCACAGAAGAACCCAUGUUCAAUUCUCAGCUCACAACUUGGUUAACUCCUGCUGUAGGACAUCCAACAUGACACUCUUCACACAUAAGUCUUUUUUUUUUUUUUUUUUUUUUUUGUAAGAAUCUGUGUGCAGGGGUUGGGAGGAGGCUAAUGCUUUAAAUGUAAGGCUUUACAACCAGUUUGGAAAACAACCUUUAAAAACUGUAGCGUAAGUCUGUCACCCAGUUUAUCUGUAACUGUCUUAAAUAAUUGUCUAAAAGAAACUAUAGUCCAUAGAAAGCCUUAUAUAGGAAAGCUCAUAUUAGGUUUAUUUACAAGAGCACAAAACUGAAAUUAACCUAAAUACCCAUCAAAAGGAUGGCACACAAAGAAGUACUAAAUUAGGUUGUUUUUUUUAAAGCACUUACAACAUAAAGUGAUCCUCAAAGUCAGUAGACUAAAUGAAAAAAAGACUCUUCCCUUCCCAAAUGACCUCACCCAUUCUAAUUAUAGUAAAUGUUCUUAAAUACAAAGUAAUCUGUAGUGAGUAGGCCCUGGGGUCUGGAGAAGGGAACACACAUAACAUCCAACAAAGAGUUCUUUGUUGGAUGCCCAAUACCAGUUGGACAGGUUUGGGAUCAGUAUUUACAGAUGAUCUCUUAGUUUGUACAUAUCUUUCAAAACGCAGAAUUCUAUACACUGAUGAUGUGUGGUGUGUCUCACAUUAGUAAUGCCUCCGGUUAGAUUGAUGUCUCCCUCAAGAACAAGAUUCUUACUCCAGGAAUAAAAGCUAAAGUGGUAAAUGGAAAAUAUAACUACACAUUUAUUAAAGUUACUUAGGUAAAUUAUUGAGUUACUCUGUGCCUUUCACCUUGCUUAUAAAAAUGAGACCAAUGGUAAUACAUGCUUAGAGGAUUAUUAUGAAGAUUAGAUUAAAUAUGAAUAUUUAAAAUAGAACAUGGCAUAUAAUAUUGGUCAUUAGCUAUUACUAAAUUUCAAAGAACUGGAAUUUUCUAGCCUGUGUUAUCUCAUCCCAAAGGCAUUACAUUAGAAUUCUGUCACAAAAGUAUUUGUAAGGGCUGACAGUGUGACUCUGUAGUACACUGUUUACCCUAGCAUGUGUGUGAGACCCUAGAUUCAUGUCCAGCAUGGAAAAAAAUUAUCUAGAAAUUUUCAAGACAAGUUGUCAUGUAUAAAUGUUUGAAUCUAUAUUAGCCACAUAAAUUUAAACAACUGAAAUUUAGCAAAGUUAACAUCCUUUUUCUUUCUUCCUUUCUUUCUUUCUUUCUUUCUUUCUUUCUUUCUUUCUUUCUUUCUUUCUUUCUUUCUUUCUUUCUGGUUUUUCAAGACAGCUGUCUCUUUGAAGCCAUGGCUGGCCUAGAACUCCCUUUGUAGCCCAGGCUGGCCUCAAACAGAGAUCUGCCUGUCUCUCCCCCUGCCUCCUGAGUACUGGGAUUAAAGGCAUGCACCCCACCCACCACACAAUCCUCCUAACUCAGCCUCUAGAGUGUAAAAUCAAAUUCUUUAGAUGUACAUAAUUUUUCAUAGUACUUCAGAACAUAGUUUUCUCUCUUCAUUCUAAUUUUCCUUUGCCCUAUAAUUCUACAAAAUAUCUGUUGCCUGUGACCCACAGUGACCUUCAUGUCAGCAAGUUCAUUCAAUAUUUUUAGUACUGAUUCAAAUUAACCAGUAGGAAGUGACUGCCUUUUCCUCCUUUAACACCAGAGGUUGACAGUUCUAACAAUGUGAGCCUGACUCCUUUCUUUUCCAAGUGAUAACAUCUAUAUUCAUGGCAUAAUGUCACCAAAAAAAAAAAAAUUAUACCUAUUUCUGAUUCACCCAAACUGCAUCUCUGAACCUGACUUUCUAGAUUCUAUAGUUACUGGACAUUGCCCAGUACUUCCUGCACCCAGACUCAGCAUGACUAUGCUUCUCCGUCUCCACCCUACACCUAUCUCUACCAAAACCUAGCUGUACAUUCUAUUCUCCAUUCCCGAGAUUCCACUGCUCUCUGAUUUUUAUGUAAUUGAGAAGCUACAAGUAAUACUUGAUACAGCUUUCUCAUGCAUACUUAUACUCACUCCAUCACCAAAUCCUAACAUCUCUUCAGUCCAUUCCCCGUCAUAAUACCUGGUUCAAGCUACUACAACCUGUUGAAAGUACUGCCUAACUACUUUGUCUGUAUUCUCUGGCACACCUACACUCAUAUACAGGUUCUGUCUCUGCACUGUUGAUAGUGUUAUCCUUCUCCAACAGGAAUCGAUCUAAUUUUAGAAGUUCUCCCCCUAGAUUCUUUUAUUGGCUCUAGUUACUCUUUAAGAUAAAGACAAAUUUGUACAUACUACAAGGCAUUGAAUCUUGCGGAGUAUUCCUUGUUCCUUAUCACUCCAGUCACACUAUAUGUCCUUCCUUUCAGUCCUUUGUACCAUUCCCUUUUUAAUAGAUUAUUCCCAUGGUUUUUGAUGCCUGGAGUGUUCUUCUUUUCUUAGUUACUCCUCUCAUUUCCUGAGCAACAGUUCUUCAGAGAAUCCUGAACACAACUAUUCAAAUACAUCUCCCAUUAAUUUUACAGCAAAAAAAUUUCAGCCCCAGUACCCCUUCCUCUUCUUUCUCUUCCCACUUAAUUUGGCUUAAAACAGGGGUCCUACUUAGUUUAGUUUAAAACAAUUUGAAUGCUAAGAAGGGCUUUAAAUAGAAAGAUAGAGAAUUGUGGUGACUGUGAAUUCAAGAUAUCAGGUCUUAAGUAGACAUCCACAUUAACAGUUUCCUCUAUAAGACAAUAUAAGAAAAUAAUCUGACUUUCCAAGAGAAAGAAGUGUGUAUUUCUUUUUUUUUUAUUACAUUUAUUGUGUAUGUGUGUACUCAAAUGUAUAAUUGUGAACAUGCUGCAGAACAUGUGUAGGUCAAAGAACAACUUUCAGUAGUCAGUUCUCUCCUUCUACCUUGUCAGCUACAGGGAUAGAAUUCAGGUCAUCAGGUCAUCCGCCCAGCCCAGAAAUUCAUAUUUCUUAGAGUGGGGACUCUGGUGACCCUGGUACUUGCGGAGCAGACACAGGAAGAUCAGGAGUUCAAGGCAAAUUUCAGCCUAAUUGUAAAUUCCAGGAUAGCUUGGGCUACAUGACACUCUCUCAAAAUUAAACAAAUAGGAAAUCUUGUAAAUAUUAUUCGAGAAAGUAUUGUUACUACUAUUACUACAUAAGGCAAGCAAAACAUUUAUGUGGGUCAUUCCCAACACAUGUAACUGCUGAAUUUUACCCCCUCUUUCUCUUGUGUUUCUAGAUGGUCUUUCUUUUUUACUUUUCUUAAAUUAUUUUCUGGAUCAUCUUUCUUAAAGUAAUAAAACAACCAAAUAAAGUCUUUAUAAUUUUCAUGUAACAAACUGUGUUAGUUUUGUUUCCUAUUGCUGCAAUAAAAAUAACUCUGACAAAGGCAACUUAGGUUUAAGGAAUAGUUUAUUUUAGUUCUCAGUUCCAGGCUGUAGUCCAUCACUACAGGGAAGUCACAACAGUGGGAGCUUGGGGGCGUUGGUUAUAUCCAAAAUUAGGAGCAGAGAAUAAUGAAUGUGUGUGUGCUUCUAAUGCUCAGCUCACUCUCUUCAUUCAGUCCAAACCAAUUAGAGCGGUAGUCCUCCACCUCCCUAAUGCUGCGACCCUGUAAUACAGUUCCUCCUAUUAUGGUGAACCCCAACCAUAAAAUUAUUCAUUGCUACUUCAUAACUGUAAUUUUGCUACUGCUGUGAAUGGUAAUAUAAAUAUCUAAUUUGUAGGAUAUGUGAUAUUGGCUUCCAGGGGUUGAGACCCACAGAUUAGAACUGCUGGAUUAAUACAAGACCCCACCUUCAAUGUGGCUUUUCCCAUCUCCAUCAACUCAAUUAAGAAAAUCUCUCAUAAACCAGCCUAGUCUAGACAGUUCUACAUUGAGACUCCCUUCAUGGGUGAGUCUAGAUUAUGUCAAAUUGACAAGCAAACUAACCAUAACACAAAGCAUUAAUUACAUUUUAAUACUCAUCAGUGUUAGUUCAAAUGAAACUUGAGCAAUUUAUUCAUUUCAUCUCAAGUCUAACCAGGUAUAUAUGAAGUACCAUAGAACACAGGAUAUCUCAUAAACAUCUGCCUUCUACUACAUUAUAGGUUGUGCCAUGCCAGAGUCUGGUUUACAUUUAUUUUAAGAACAUUUUGCACACCCUUUAUCUGCUUUCUAGAAUAAGAUGUAGAUAGAUAUUUUAAAUUAUAUGUUGUUUUGUUUUAUGAAAGGAUCUCACUGUAUAUUCUUGGCUGUCCUGGGAACUCAUAUAGACCAGAUUGGCCUUAAACUCAACAGAGAUCUGCCUACCAACUGCUGGAGUUAAAGGCAGACUAAAGGCACGACAUCCAGUGAUGUUCUUACAAUCUAAUUGACUUAUAGAUGCCAGUUUAUCAGCAUAUUAAUCACACUGUACAGUUUGUUUUUCCAGACUUCAGUUCUUCAGAGGUAAAAAUGCUGUCUUUAAAUUUUGUGCUAUUUUCUCUGCUACUAUGAUGGACUUCCCAAUUGUUGAUUCAGUUAUUUGGACUGCUUUGAGAUGAUGUAAUAUAUUUAACAAGAAAUGAUUUUUUUUCUCCUUUGCAACCUUCUAUUAAAUUGUUUGGAC